AACGAACGCUGGCGGCAGGCUUAACACAUGCAAGUCGAGCGCCCCGCAAGGGGAGCGGCAGACGGGUGAGUAACACGUGGGAAUCUACCCAUCCCUACGGAACAACUCCGGGAAACUAGAGCUAAUACCGUAUACGCCCUUUGGGGGAAAGAUUUAUCGGGGAUGGAUGAGCCCGCGUUGGAUUAGCUAGUUGGUGGGGUAAAGGCCUACCAAGGCGACGAUCCAUAGCUGGUCUGAGAGGAUGAUCAGCCACAUUGGGACUGAGACACGGCCCAAACUCCUACGGGAGGCAGCAGUGGGGAAUCUUAGACAAUGGGGGAAACCCUGAUCUAGCCAUGCCGCGUGAUCGAUGAAGGCCUUAGGGUUGUAAAGAUCUUUCAGUGGGGAAGAUAAUGACUGUACCCACAGAAGAAGCCCCGGCUAACUCCGUGCCAGCCGCCGCGGUAAGAC
rnacentral:rRNA from 1 species